rnacentral:sRNA from 1 species
CCUUAGCCCCGGCAGUAACAGCAUCCUUUAUGGCUAGGUUUUAGCCAUAAAGAUACAGUGAAUGGCGGGAAAUAGC